GCACAAGGAAAUUGAACUCUAACUUGCAAGGCUGCAAAACAAAGCAGUUUGAAGCCAGACGCCUCCAAACGGUGCAGCCCUAAAAAGGGACGCCUGUACUUUUCGAAGAAAGUCUCAGAACCCCUACAGCAUUGCGCUGCUGGGGAAAACUUCAGCACGGAGGCCUACGUUCGGAGGAAGAAGCCGGAAGCAUGCAAAAGAGCAAGUAAGCAGUUCUCCCACGUGGGCCACAGGCAGCAAGCAGAGUCAGAGAGCGGAAGCUGGAGUCCCGCAAGGCACUAGGAGAUGGUCACAGAAGCUGCAGGCGCCCGGACACCUGCUGGCUCUAGCCGGGAGUCUUUCUCGGGAGAACAGUGGUGCUCAGGAAUGGUGGCGGCCUGGGCGCAGCCUCUCCCAUCCACGACACCUCUCUCUAAAGGGGUGCCUACGCCCUACGGGCAGCGGGUGCAGAUGAGCCAAAAGGUGGUGUGUGUGUGUGUGUGUGUGUGUAUGUGUGUGUGUAUCGGGGAGGGGAUCAUUCGCAAGCGUACCCUCUCCUCGAGCGGCAAGUGAGUCCCGAGUGCCCAGCCCCGGUCCCUCCCCGCCGCGGCAGGGGCGCGCGGGCCGGGCGUAUGGCCCCGGGAGGCGCGGUACGCCGGGGCGGGGGCGAGAAGGCACUCGGCAGGGCGAACCGCUGCGGCUGGGAGGGCUCAUCUCACCUUCACGGCGGUGGUGGUGGUGCCAGAGGCCAUAUCUGCACGGGAAAGGAAGCUGCAGUGGGCGAGCGCUCGGGACUAAGAGAACCAAAGGGACCGAAGAGCUGCAACCGUGCCAACCCCACAGAGCGGGACUGAGCAGUGCGGAGACCCGGGGCGGGCCUUGACUCCUCCUCUUCCUCCCCGGGACAGCUGGAUUGGCUGCUUGUGUGGGAUCUCCCCCGCCACCCCUUCCCCAAAUCGAAGUUCCCGCGUUCCGCCCCUUUUGCAGACCUUUCCGGUUCUCCGGGUUUUUGUCGGUUUUUUUUUUUUUUUUUUUUAAUCCCCAGUUGUAACUAACGGAUAAUGAUAAUAAUGGAGACAAUUUAUCGAGCGCUGUAUUGUUCCAGACUGCGUGUUUUGGACUUUAAUUGGCUUACUUAACAUUCACAAAAACCCUGUAAGGAACAGCAGCACUCCCUGCUUGGCCCGAUAUUCGUGGCGUCAGAGGCCUCAGCAUUCUGGCCCGGCGGCGUUCCACAAGUUCGCGCGCAAGGGAAAAUCCUCACCAAGGACGGAACUGGCCGGCCAGAGAUUCUCUCAGGCAGUUAACGCGGGGCGGCUGCCGUGGCGGGGGCGUGGUUUGCACUUCCUACGGCUGCGAACCCACGGGGGGUUUGCGUAUUUGCCUUGAUUCCUGGAGGACACAGCUGGGAUGGACUUGACCCAAGACUCAGGGAUGACGAAAGGGAAAUAAACAGAGUAACGUACUACUGGAUAAUCUUUCUGAUUUACGAACUAUGAUUUACUUAUCUUCAAUGUGAGGAGCGGCUUUAAGGCGUUUGAGACCGUGCGCAACUCCCAGUCUGCUCUACCCGACUGGGGGCAUCUUUAACCCUUUCUACGCCGGAGCGCUAUCCAGUACACCUGGAUUCAGAAUCCAGACUAAGGUCUCCAUCAUUCAACACUAGCAGGACACACACACACACACACACACACACACCCCACCACCACCAGCCCUUUACAGGGAGAAUCCCUCAUGCUCAAAGCCCCCAUCCCUUCCCUACUGGGAUAAUCCAAUUUAACCUUCCUUGAUGGAUUAAGCGUUCUGCAACAAAACAAUGGUUGACAAGGAUCUUAAGGGUGGACUCUGAGAUGUAGAAAUGCUGCAAAUUAGCCUGGAGGUGGGAGGCAGGCCGAGAAAGGGGAUGCUUUCCUCUUACAGUAGCAAAACACGGAAACGAAACACAAGUACAAUUUAAUUCAAAAUACCACUGUGUGAUGUUAGCCUCAUAGAACCUGUUUACUUAAACAGUAUAGACUUUCGUCCUCUUAUUACUAUAUGCUUUAGGUCUAAAUUUUCUCACAAUGUAAAGUUUUCUUUAUUCUGUUACAAUAAUCUAUUUCUUUUAAGUUAUAAAAUGCAAUGGUAAAAGAGGAAUGAAAGUAGAAUUCGGAUGCUCCUUUGAGAAACAGGAGACAGGGAGUCCUUCGUGGAUGAAGACAAUGUAGCUUUCUAGGGGCCUUUCUGCUGAUUGCUCUAUUGAGGGGCAGGAAGCCCACCACUCAGAAGUGAACCAUUGAGGACACAAGGAUGCCCUGGACUUUAUGGCUGCUACCUAAGUAGGGGGUUCUAGCCAACUUAAGUGACUUGAUAUGAUUAGCAAGUCCAGUUUCUACUCAGCACUGCCUCUCUGCUAAAAGUUAGACGCUGUAACCAAGUUAGAUCUUGUAAGCUUAAAAUACCCCUAGGCAUAGGAGUUGGAAACUUGGAGAGGACCAGGCUGGACUUCUGGACUUUUCUACUAUAACUUGCAGAUUAAUUCUGCACAUUAAAAGCAUAUUCAGAUCAACAGAAUGGCCAUCUACCCUGGAAUCCCAGGAUCUUCACAUCCUAUAAGUGAGUUUUGAGUAUGUUUGUAAGCAGGUGAAAAGAAGUUCACAUGGAAGACACUAAGAAAGAUAUAGCUAAUGGCACAAGAUCCCAGAGGAAUGGAAUCAGAAGCUCUGACCGAAAUCAUAGUCCUCUAUUAGAAUGGAGACAUGGGGCUGGAAGAAAGGAGUUCUGGAGGCUGGUAGUUCAAGAUCACGGUGCCAGUGCAGUUGGGUUCUGGUGAAGAAUUUCCUCCUGGCUUGUGGAAGGUGCCUUCUUGCUAUGUCCUCACAGGGGGGAAGAUCAGAGAACUGCAGCAUCACAGUAAAGGCAAGUAAGGGCAAGCAGCCAUUUGUAAAACUUGUUGACAUGAUUUUUUUUGCCUCUUGUAGAAAUACAUUGAGAAAAUGCGCUUCUUUAAAUCCAUACUUUGAGAAAGUUUAUAAACAAAAGCCAAGAACUACCUGUGAUUAGUAAUAAGGUUCCUGAAUUACAAGAGGAUGACCUAGCACAGAUUAGACUGUGUAGACAGGAAAACACUAGGUUAUGCAAAAGAGGGAACAGAUGAAUCUAGAACUAUUUUCUUGACCUCAGUGGUCAAGAUUUAUCAGCUCUUUCUUAGGGAGGCAUGUGUAGACAUAAAUUUUAGAGUUAACUGAG